rnacentral:rRNA from 1 species
UAGGGAAUCUUCGGCAAUGGACGAAAGUCUGACCGAGCAACGCCGCGUGAGUGAAGAAGGUUUUCGGAUCGUAAAACUCUGUUGUUAGAGAAGAACAAGGACGUUAGUAACUGAACGUCCCCUGACGGUAUCUAACCAGAAAGCCACGGCUAACUACGUGCCAGCAGCCGCGGUAAUACGUAGGUGGCAAGCGUUGUCCGGAUUUAUUGGGCGUAAAGCGAGCGCAGGCGGUUUCUUAAGUCUGAUGUGAAAGCCCCCGGCUCAACCGGGGAGGGUCAUUGGAAACUGGGGGACUGGAGUGCAGAAGAGGAGAGUGGAAUUCCAUGUGUAGCGGUGAAAUGCGUAGAUAUAUGGAGGAACACCAGUGGCGAAGGCGGCUCUCUGGUCUGUAACUGACGCUGAGGCUCGAAAGCGGGGGGAGCAAACAGG